UCCAGACUCCUACGGGAGGCAGCAGUGGGGAAUAUUGCACAAUGGGGGAAACCCUGAUGCAGCGACGCCGCGUGAGCGAUGAAGUAUUUCGGUAUGUAAAGCUCUAUCAGCAGGGAAGAAGAUGACGGUACCUGACUAAGAAGCCCCGGCUAACUACGUGCCAGCAGCCGCGGUAAUACGUAGGGGGCGAGCGUUAUCCGGAUUGACUGGGUGUAAAGAGUUGCGUAGGUGGCAUAGUAAGUAGCUAGUGAAAUCUGGUGGCUCAACCAUUCAGACUAUUAGCUAAACUGCUAAGCUCGAGACCGUUAGGGGUAACUGGAAUUUCUAGUGUAGGAGUGAAAUCCGUAGAUAUUAGAAGGAACACCGAUAGCGUAGGCAGGUUACUGGGACGGUUCUGACACUAAGGCACGAAAGCGUAGGGAGCAAACGGGAUUAGAUACCCGCGUAGA
rnacentral:rRNA from 1 species